rnacentral:rRNA from 1 species
GACGAACGCUGGCGGCGUGCCUAAUACAUGCAAGUCGAACGCACUCUCGUUUAGAUUGAAGGAGCUUGCUCCUGAUUGAUAAACAUUUGAGUGAGUGGCGGACGGGUGAGUAACACGUGGGUAACCUGCCCUAAAGUGGGGGAUAACAUUUGGAAACAGAUGCUAAUACCGCAUAAAACCUAACACCGCAUGGUGUAGGGUUGAAAGAUGGUUUCGGCUAUCACUUUAGGAUGGACCCGCGGUGCAUUAGUUAGUUGGUGAGGUAAAGGCUCACCAAGACCGUGAUGCAUAGCCGACCUGAGAGGGUAAUCGGCCACACUGGGACUGAGACACGGCCCAGACUCCUACGGGAGCAGCAGUAGGAAUCUUCCACAAUGGGACGAAAGUCUGAUGG